CCAUAUCAUUUUUAAAGGACAAUUAUAUUGAUCAGUUUUUGCUUUCCUGUGUUGGAAAGCAUUAUGGGAGAUAAUAGGCUAUAAAGCCCUUCCCUGUAAGGUGCUACACUAGUUUAGAUGGAGCUGUGGUUAGGAAUAAGAUAGGGUGUAUUGCUACUGGGGUGGUGGGUGGCCUUAGGGCUUUAUAAGUGAAUUUUGGAAUACUUCAAUUAUCCUGGUUUUUGUUGCUGAGACUCUACCUGCAAUUUAUUGUCAACAGUAAAUUAAUUGAAAUUAAUGGAGCUGUACCAGGAAUUAAUUCUCUCCUAUGCUGUUUGAGGAGGAGGGACUAUCUCAUGUUUCUUAAUUGCUCCUUCUGGUUAAUGCAUUAGGCCCAAAUAGCUGAGUGGAGAGGCAGUUGUUUCCAAUCUUCUGCUGGAGUAAAAGUUGCUGUGACAUAGUUCUUUCAGGGAAGAAGUGGGUUUGGAGAAUGCCCUAAUGGGUGGAAAAACUAUAUAAGGUGCCUGGGAGUUCAGAUUCAAUGUCUGAAGAAAUCUUAUUCUCCAAGUUAAAUGAAAUUGGCUUUUGAAAGAACACUACCUAAAGGGCCAUAAACACAGAGCAAUGGUAAUUGGUUAAGCUGUGUGAGAAGUGUCCAGAGACCCAGGGACUGGUGCAUCUAGAACAAUGACAUCCAGGAUCCCCCAAAACAGAGAGAGAGACAAAAGAGCCUGUUACUGCAAACCAAGAGGUACAGCUCACCACACCUUACUUCAGGCUGGCUGACUGCAAACUGACUUUGAUUGUGGGCUUCUCUACAGAGUCCUCUAUCCUGCAAGCAGGACCAGGAAACCUCCCCGCGGUGCUCUAUGCUUAAGUGACAGCUUGCAAUUCCAAACCAGUCCUUAAUACACCACAACAUUUAUAUAGUUUAUUUGGCUAAAAGUCUACUAUGAGGUGAGGGACAGCACCAACAAAUAUUUGAAUGGCCAGAACACUGGAGUUGAGGAGGAAUUACUCAGGGUGGUAGAUACCCUGGAAUAUGAUUUAGCAAUUAAGAGAUGAAAGCCUCAGGAGAGUAAGCUGUAUUAAACUGGGAGACAGUUUCCCAAGGACAUUAGUGUAAACACCAUUUUUUUGGGACACACAAAAUGAGAUUGGAAAAAGUUCUGUAAAGAACAAUUCUGCAUUGGCAAAAGGAAAGGCUGAAUAGCCUAAUAGGUCAGAGCUAGAUCUUUUCCAUCGUUACCGUCUAUGAUUCUCCUGCUAGCAGCAAGUUGCACAGU